GCUUAUGGCCAUACCACCCUGAGCACGCCCGAUCUCAACUGGUCUCGGAAGCUAAGCAGGGUCGGGCCUGGUUAGUACUUGGAUGGGGGACCGCCUGGGAAUACCAGGUGCUGUAAGCU
ensembl:rRNA 5S_rRNA 5S ribosomal RNA